rnacentral:tRNA from 6 species
GCACCCGUAGCUCAGCUGGAUAGAGCACCAGACUACGAAUCUGGGGGUCGGGAGUUCGAAUCUUCCCGGGUGCGCCA